rnacentral:rRNA from 1 species
GCUGGCGGCGUGCCUAACACAUGCAAGUCGAACGAGAAAGUGGAGCAAUCCAUGAGUAAAGUGGCGACCGGGUGAGUAACACGUGACUAACCUACCUCCGAGUGGGGAAUAACUCCGGGAAACCGGGGCUAAUACCGCAUAACAUCGCAAGAUCAAAGCAGCAAUGCGCUUGGAGAGGGGGUCGCGGCUGAUUAGCUCGUUGGCGGGGUAACGGCCCACCAAGGCGAAGAUCGGUAUCCGGCCUGAGAGGGCGCACGGACACACUGGAACUGAAACACGGUCCAGACUCCUACGGGAGGCAGCAGUGGGGAAUUUUGCGCAAUGGGGGAAACCCUGACGCAGCAACGCCGCGUGGAGGAUGAAGCCCUUUGGGGCGUAAACUCCUUUCGACUCGGACGAUAAUGACGGUACGAGUGGAAGAAGCACCGGCUAACUCUGUGCCAGCAGCCGCGGUAAUACAGAGGGUGCGAGCGUUGUUCGGA